AUUCCAGCUCCAAUAGCGUAUAUUAAAGUUGUUGCAGUUAAAAAGCUCGUAGUUGGAUUUGGGACUGGAGUCGUCGGGUCGGCCGCGAGGUCUGUUACUUGGCGGCUCUGUCAUUACAAUUCCCAGAGACCUGUCGUGUGCUUCACUGUACGCGGCAAGGGAUUUGGGACGUUUACUUUGAAAAAAUUAGAGUGUUCAAAGCAGGCUUUUACAGCCCGAAUACAUGAGCAUGGAAUAAUGGAGUAGGACCGCGGUUCUAUUUUGUUGGUUUCUACGACCGCAGUAAUGAUUAAGAGGGACAAUUGGGGCAUCCGUAUUUCGUUGUCAGAGGUGAAAUUCUUGGAUUUGCGAAAGACGAACAACUGCGAAAGCAUUUGCCAAGAGUGUUUUCAUUG
rnacentral:rRNA from 1 species